rnacentral:rRNA from 1 species
GGUGACGAAACCGGAGGAAGGUGGGAUGACGUCAAGUCAUCAUGGCCCUUAUGUCCAGGGCGACACACGUGCUACAAUGGUCGGUACAAAGGGUUGCCAAGCCGCGAGGUGGAGCUAAUCCCAUAAAACCGAUCGUAGUCCGGAUCGCAGUCUGCAACUCGACUGCGUGAAGUCGGAAUCGCUAGUAAUCGUGAAUCAGAAUGUCACGGUGAAUACGUUCCCGGGCCUU